AGUAUGUGAUAUAUAAUUUAUUAUCUAAAUUUGGACACUUUUGUCUGGAAAGAAAAAGAAGAAAAGUAAAGAAAAACUGCUAGGAUGCUGGGACAAGAGGUGCACCACAUCCUGCUGGGGAAAGCAAACCAGAACAUCAGGUCAUCCUGGGUAGACACAACCUGAGCCAGUGAGCAACACUGCCCCCAUUCCAGCUGAUUUCUAGUGUAAUUUUCCAUCAUCUGCCUUUUUAAAUGUAGAAAGUCUUGAUUCAGGCUUGACUGGAAGUAUUAAAUGUCUACCUCACUUUUGAUAGGAAGAAGAUGAUUUUUCACCUAGUGGAGUCAUUGAACAGUGGUCUUCAAAUUGGGAUUAUUUCCAAGAAUGGGCAGACUAGAAUUGCAGUGCACAGAUACAAGAAUGUUGCCUGCUUUGGAGCCAAGAUUGCCUUCCGGAUAAAGGGCCCACAGAGAGCUGAGAGCUGUGUAAUACCUCAAAGACUGAAGAAAAGAGUUAGACAGCCAUCUUUCCUUAGAGGAUUUUGCUGCAGAUAGCUUGAACUACCAGAAGGUUAUAUACUGACCAUGGGUAGAGAAAGGAAGAAAUACAUCCUUCGGAAAGGACAAUGAAGAUCUUUACAGCAGGGUGAGUAAACAGGCCAGUGUAAGUAGCUAAGCAAGAAGGCCACUUGCUAGGUGGUAUACAGUUGCUCAGUAUAUCACACACACACACACACACACACAAAUAUUAGUUACACCUCUGAGAUGGGAUUCAUAAACAUUUAAAAGUUUACACCAUGUUUAGAUAACACUGACCAUCAAACCCUUAAUAAUUUGUUUUGCUUUGCAGUCCCACAGGUCUAUGCCCAUCUAUUCAUUUUAGCAUCUGUUUUAUGUUUCAUAAUUACCUUUUAAAAUUUCUGUCUCCCCUUUGUGCUAUGAGGUCAUUUCAGCACUUAGGUGAGAAUCUGAAAUUGUAAAGAUAGUUCAAUUACAUUUUCGUUAUUAAUAUAGGCGGGGUAAAGUAAAAGUGCUGUAUUAGCUCAGAGGAGCAAAAAACAAUAUAAUCAAAUAGAUCUGUAGAUACCAGAAUUUUAAAAUUCUUCCUUCAGGAACUUUAAUGCCAUUUAAAAAUAUUUAUUGUGGAAUAUGUUAGACUUUGAGUCAUAGUGAUUUUUACCUCCUAACAUAAAGCUAAUUUUUACUGGAUUUCUUCUGAUAAUGAUGGUUAAGUGUGCAAGAGAUGGUAUCAGUCUAUUCAGCGUAUUAUUGAGAAUCCCCUCACUCUCCUUAAAUGAAUGGCUUAAGCAGCAGAUGUUCUAUACCCUAAAAGAUGCCAUGGCACGUCUCAGGUAAGAGCUGUCCUUGGAGUUGAAUGUUAUUUAUUACUAUGUAGGUACUAGAGAUUCAGAAACUUAAUGAUUUUUUUUCCUAACAGAAACUCCUUUUUCGCACUAUGAAUAAUUUACUGUUCUUUCUUCUUUGAACUCAACUGUAGAAUUGCGCAUAGACUAAUUUUUACUUUCGCUCCUUUCCCAGGUGAAAUUAAACAAAAAAUAUAGAAACUGAUCACUGAACUAAUGACUUUAGAUGAGUAUACUUUUAUGUAAAUUUUAAAAGAUUUGGUAAUUAAGAAUGAAUUUCAUUUCAACUUCAUUGUUCAUUUCCUCUUAAUUGUUACAACAAUUUAAUUCUAAACAUGAUAAAAUCACACCUUCCUGUUGCUACACCUGCAAGCUUUUUAAAGUUUGUUCAGAGUUUAGAUAGAUUAGGAAAUAAAGUGGAAAAUAACCAGGCAAAUAUUAUGUUUUAUUAAAAAAUUACAUUUCUGGCUGUGAAAUACUGAACUUAUUUAUACAUGAAAGAAGUUAUAUCAAUAUCAAAUUGAUAUAUUCAAAUGUCUGAUCCUGUCUUAAACAGGAAAACUACUUUGAAAGCAGCAAUAUUACCAACAAUGAAGGGAAAAAAUGUGUAGAAUCAUAU
ensembl:lincRNA